rnacentral:rRNA from 1 species
UACGGGAGGCAGCAGGGGGAAUAUUGGACAAUGGGCGAAAGCCUGAUCCAGCCAUGCCGCAUGAGUGAAGAAGGCCUUCGGGUUGUAAAGCUCUUUUAGUGAGAAAGAUAAUGACGGUACUCACAGAAGAAGUCCUGGCUAACUCCGUGCCAGCAGCCGCGGUAAUACGGAGAGGGCUAGCGUUAUUCGGAAUUAUUGGGCGUAAAGAGCGCGUAGGCUGAUUAGUAAGUUAAAAGUGAAAUCCCAAAGCUUACUUUGGAAUUGCUUUUUAAAACUGCUAGUCUAGAGAUUUGAAAGAGGAUAGAGGAAUUCCUAGUGUAGAGGUGAAAUUCGUAAAUAUUAGGAGGAACACCAGUGGCGAAGGCGUCUAUCUGGUUCAAAUCUGACGCUGAGGCGCGAAGGGCGUGGGGAGCAAACAGGGAUUAGAUACC